rnacentral:rRNA from 1 species
GGACGAAGGAGUCUAACGGACCGACGAACCACGGCGACCAUGUCGUAGCCGUGCAGCGAAAGCGAAUGAGACCGCUCGAGUUGCGGCGACGGGUGGCGCGCGUCGCGCAAGCGAUCGCCGCCGCCCGGCAGCCGCGAGAUAGGCCCAACGUUUCGUACAAGGCUGUAUUCUGUGUCCGUACGUUGGGACCCGAAAGAUGGUGAACUAUUCCUGAUUAGGGCUAAGUCAGGGGAAACCCUGAUGGAGGCUCGUAGCGAUUCUGACGUGCAAAUCGAUCGUCCGAGUUGGGUAUAGGGGCGAAAGACUAAUCGAACCAUCUAGUAGCUGGUUCCUUUCGAAGUUUCCCACAGGAUAGCUGGAGCACGACGAGCGCAGUUACACGUGGUAAAGCAAAUGAUUAGAGGCAUUGGGAUUGAAACGAUCUCAACCUAUUCUCAAACUUUAAAUAUGUGCGAUUGGCGAACUUUCAAGCAAAGCGCUGCGGCGCCGAAGUUGUUAGCGAAUGCGCGCUCCCAGUGGGCCAUUUUUGGUAAGCAGAACUGGCGAUGUGGGAUGAACCAAAAGCGGGGCUAAAGUGCCCAAACUUUAUUAACGGGAUACCACAAAAGGCGUUAGUAACUAAAGACAGCAGGACGGUGGCCAUGGAAGUAGGA